GCAGGUAUGGUGACAUGGUUCCAAAGACGAUAGCUGGGAAGAUUUUUGGAUCGAUAUGUUCCCUGAGCGGCGUGCUGGUCAUCGCCUUGCCAGUUCCUGUUAUCGUUUCCAAU